rnacentral:lncRNA from 1 species
AGAGUCUGUCUGGAAGGGGCAAGAUAUUGAUAUUCAUUACUAGGAACAGGGCAGAAAUUGAUUCAUGUUUUUUUUUUUUUUAACCACAUGAAGUGUGUCCUGUGGUCACUGCUGGACAGAGCGGGGUUGCUGAUACGGGGAUGUGUAGGUUCCUCUUCCCCACCCAACCUGCUCUCUAAACAAAGAAAACCAGAGACUCCGAGGUUUCCUUGCUGAAGCUCAUCUCACUAAGGGGCAGAAAGAAAACUUGACUGCUGGUCCACUCCCGAGAGCAACAGCCUGAGACGAGAGGAAGGAGGGGGACGUCUGAGACAGUGGUUCACAGUGGAGAGAACCUCAACACCCGCGUGGAAAAGUCAGGAGUAGGUGUGGCUCUAUGACACAACCAGAGUGAUCUGAGCCACUUGCAGGUGCAUCUACCCACUUUGAAUUUUCUUGUGCAGCUUGGCAUUUGCUCUCAAACUCCCAGCCUCCGAAGUCCCGUG